rnacentral:lncRNA from 1 species
GGCAUAGAGUCACCUAGAAUUUAGAGCAGGAAGGACCCAAGUUUCUGUCCUUGGUCAGGAUAGUUCCUAGUUUUUUAUAGGUAACCCUGGGUUUAUUAUACUCCUUUUAUGGAUGAGCAUCCUGAGGUUCAGAAAGAUAAGGGUACUUCUCAGGGGCAAGUCACAUCCUCUGUUAGCCUUGAUUGACUUGCUCAUAAAAAUGAGAGACAAUAAUGCCUUCAGUUCCUUUGUCAUAGAUUUUUGUCAGGCUCAAGGAGGCAUGUCAGUAAAUCUCACUGGGAAUUAGUGUCUAGGAACCUGGCCUUAGGGUCACUAAGACUUGGGUUCAAGCUCUCCCAGGUGGCCUGGACUGACUGUUAUCGUGGAAAAGUCUCUAUAACUUGUCUCAAUCUAGGCUCAGAUGAAAACAGGGGCCACUUUACUGAUCACUGCAAGUUGCUCAUUAUCUUAGAUAACUACAUAUUUACAUUAUGUAUUUUUCUUUAUUUUGUUCAGUAUUUCCCAAUUCUGUUUUAAUCUGGUUCCCCCUGGUACUUGAGUGUGUUGCUGGCUCCAGUAUAGCCUGCAAGUACAAUAUUUGGCAUCUCUACUUCAGGAUACUGUUUUCAAUACUAGAAGUUGUAGAGAAAGAGCCAACCUGCUUUGGUACAGGUAGUUUCCUCAUCUAGGAGUUCCAUUUAUCAGUGGAAUCACAGAUGACAAAACUGAAGAUCAGUAAGAUUAAGUGACUUGCUCUCAAGAUCACAAAGGGAGGAGGAACCAAAUUGAUUCCCUCUAAAUUGAUCUGCCCUGUCCAGAUGGUAUGGAUACUAAUGAGUCUUCGAGACUACUUCCAAGAGCAAGGCCACCCAGAGCCUACGCCAGAUCUGGAAGAAUGCCAGAUGGCGACGGAAUCGCAAUACCGUAUUGUAAGAUGGCCAAGGAUACCUUUCUCGGUCUCCAUAAAUUGGACACAAUGGACCUGAGUAGGUUUUGCUGCUUGAAUUUCCUCCAAGCAGCAUGGGGUGAAGAGUCUAGUGCUAGUUAUUUGGGACCAAUGGAAAGCCCCUAAAUACCAAAUUUCAGAAAAGCAGGAAAUGGAAGAGCUUCUAGUUCAAGUCAUGUUGUUACUACACUUGCUAUAUAGAUAGAAGAUGUGGUCUUUAUUUAGGCCAUAAAAUAAAGCAAUUAAGGAUCAAAUUAUUGGUUGUGUC